rnacentral:rRNA from 1 species
AGUGAACGCUGGCGGUAGGCCUAACACAUGCAAGUCGAACGGCAGCACAGUAAGAGCUUGCUCUUACGGGUGGCGAGUGGCGGACGGGUGAGGAAUACAUCGGAAUCUACUUUUUCGUGGGGGAUAACGUAGGGAAACUUACGCUAAUACCGCAUACGACCUACGGGUGAAAGCAGUGGUUCUUCGGACCUUUCGCGUUUGAAUUAGCCGAUGUCGGAUUAGCUGGUUGGCGGGGUAAAGGCCCACCAAGGCGACGAUCCGUAGCUGGUCUGAGAGGAUGGUCAGCAAAACUGAAACUGAGACACGGUCCAGCCUCCUAGGGGAGGCAGCAGUGGGGAAUAUUGGACAAUGGGCGCAAGCCUGAUCCAGCCAUCCCGCGUGGGUGAAGAAGGCCUUCGGGUUGUAAAGCCCUUUUGUUGGGAAAGAAAAGCAGCAGGUUAAUACCCCGCUGUUCUGACGGUACCAAAAGAAUAAGCACCGGCUACCUUCGU